rnacentral:rRNA from 1 species
AUUGAACGCUGGCGGCAUGCCUUACACAUGCAAGUCGAACGGUAACGGGCCUUCGGGUGCCGACGAGUGGCGAACGGGUGAGUAAUACAUCGGAACGUGCCCGAUCGUGGGGGAUAACGAGGCGAAAGCUUUGCUAAUACCGCAUACGAUCUACGGAUGAAAGCAGGGGACCGCAAGGCCUUGCGCGGACGGAGCGGCCGGUGGCAGAUUAGGUAGUUGGUGGGAUAAAAGCUUACCAAGCCGACGAUCUGUAGCUGGUCUGAGAGGAUGAUCAGCCACACUGGGACUGAGACACGGCCCAGACUCCUACGGGAGGCAGCAGUGGGGAAUUUUGGACAAUGGGCGCAAGCCUGAUCCAGCCAUGCCGCGUGCAGGAUGAAGGCCUUCGGGUUGUAAACUGCUUUUGUACGGAACGAAAAGCCUUCUUUUAAUACAGGAGGGUCAUGACGGUACCGUAAGAAUAAGCACCGGCGAACUACGU